GCACACCGCCCCCAGCGAUCUUUGUGUCUUGUAUACACAGCAUCAGUGCCCUGUGUAUACAUUAGGCUUGAAAAUGUAAGUGGAUCAGAGAGACAGAUCAUUUGCUGGGUGGAUAUUCCAUGGCUGGAGAUGGGAAGCAGAAAUUUCCAGGGCAGAAGCACUGUUAUCUCUUAAUCCAUUUGGAAUGAAUUCAAGGAGAUUUCCCAACCAGAAGGGGAAGAAGAUGGAGCCAAACCAACAAAAAGUAACUGGAAGGAGGUCAGAAAGAAGCACAAAGGGGGUGGCACCAAAGAGAUACACCUACCACACGAAUGUGCAAAGCCAUAAUGAACACAAAAGCUGGGAUGAAAUGAAGCUUCCUCCACAUGAAAAAGAAAAAUGGAAGAUAACAGUAAAAGAAGAAUUAGACUCUUUACACAAGAAAAAUGAUAGCAGACAUACUGACAAAACUACUUAUCAAGAUGAAAUUUGAGAAUAUCCAUCAGAAAUUAUGCUGACUUCUGGAACUGACACUUGAGAAGGGGUUUGUUAGGAUUUUACAAGUGCCUGCUUCAUUCAGUCAAGCAAGCGUUAACUGCUGAAGUAU